rfam:Camelus ferus unplaced genomic scaffold scaffold334, whole genome shotgun sequence.
GAGGGUAUAGCUCAGUGGUACAGUGCGUGCCUAGCAUGCACAAAGUCCUGGGUUCAAUCCCCAGUACCUCCA